UGAUGGUACAUUUGCAGACCAGUCCUUGCAGCUCAGCUAAAUCCAACGAAUUGGCCUCCCCGUACUCAAAUCGUCUUCCUCCCCUUUGCCAGAUUCUGUACCAGUACAUCCUCUUGAAGCUAGGGUUAAGGUCCAGCGAGCUCAAAGAUUGAUCUCAGAGCUUAACGAAACGCGGCUGUCUCUCCCUCUUCUGUACCACUCAGGCGAAUUAGGGCUAUUAAAUUUCGACGGUCUCUCUCAACAAUCCGCCGCCGGCGCCGCCGGCGCCGUCAGCACUAUCCAACGAUAGCAGCUCAAGGAUGUAGGUCAUUAUGGAGUCUCAUUGCCUGGAGCCGGUAAAUCUGUUGAAGAGCCUGAGCUAUGACUGGGUAAUCUUCAGAGGAGUCAUCUUCAUAGGUCUCCAAGAUGGCAUUGAUGAAACUGAUAAUUUCACCUCUAGUACUAGUCUAGAUCGUGUAUGGCUGUCUCAGGCUUCAGUUUUUGUAGCACCAUGUAAUCAUCAAGAAUGUACAUUUGCUAGAAAAUCUUGUAUGCAGGUUUUCUGUAGUUUACAUGAGUGGUUGUUGUACAAUAUACAGAUGCUUGUGUUGUUCCGAUGUGAAAGAUGUGAUGUUCUUGCAUAGAAGCAUCUAAAUAAAAUGUAUUCAGAUAUCUUUUGGUUGUUACCGGUACUGAUUUAGCAGGGCAGCAAUAAAAGUUAAUUGAUAUGAUAAAAAA